rnacentral:rRNA from 1 species
ACGGGUGAGUAACGCGUGGGUAACCUGCCUCAUACAGGGGGAUAACAGUUAGAAAUGACUGCUAAUACCGCAUAAGCGCACAGUACCGCAUGGUACGGUGUGAAAAACUCCGGUGGUAUGAGAUGGACCCGCGUCUGAUUAGCUGGUUGGUGAGGUAACGGCUCACCAAGGCGACGAUCAGUAGCCGGACUGAGAGGUUGAACGGCCACAUUGGGACUGAGACACGGCCCAGACUCCUACGGGAGGCAGCAUG